rnacentral:lncRNA from 1 species
AUAGCACGCAGAUGGGAGCUUCGGUGCAUUUACCCCGGUGUCAUUCCCAAUGAUAGGAGGCGGGGGCGGGGCUGAGAAUGCUUUGAACACAGAUGCGGAGCGGCUCUUCUGCUCUGAGUGGAGCGCCAGUGGAACGAACAGCACCAUGACUGCGAACACAUACGACGUGAUUGUGAUUGGCGGAGGCAUUUCAGAUGAACAACUGUCCUUGGGGUUGCCAGAAGAACAUGCCAUUUCACUGAUCUCUCUGUAAUUGCUUUUCCAUAAUGCAUCUAAACGUCGAUGUUGCAGUCUAUUGGAGAAAGCAGUUGCUUCUAGAAGAGCAGGAAGCAUCAGGAACUGUGCGUGCUGUUACAUACAUGUUUUUUCAAGUGAUUAUUUGCUGCAUUCAAUUUAAGAAAAUCUCCUUUCCCUUGUGUUGGAUUGACUUGGUGCAUAUUUAAACCAUGUAAAGGAAUUAAGCAUGCUUAAAUGUAGACAGAAAAAUGGAUUAAAAUUCUUGUUUGCUGUGUUUUCAGGUCAUAGGCCCAAGCAUGUUGCAGCUGCACAGCUGAGGUUAGAGAGCAAACUUUAUUAUAAUACUACUAAAAAAAACUAACCACAAAUAUUGCUUCUCUAGUUUAUUUCCCCUGAUUUAAGAAAACAUAGAUAUUAGUACAACACUGUAUAGUCAACAGUGUGAUUAUGUAGUGUAUGAUAUCUUAAAGUAUGGAGAUGUACAUUUCUUUAAUUAUAUUUCAUGCUUUUAAAUAGGAAUGCACUAAAUAUUAGUAUCAUUAGUUUUUAUUUUUAAUAGUGUAUUUUUUAAUUUAUAUUUUAUAUAUUGGCUGAUAUUGUAUUUUUAAUUGUUAAUGCUCAUUUUUACCUAUUUUGUUGUACAUAGAUUUGAUUUCUUAUGUUAUUUAAUGUAAAAGUUAAUAUUUUAAUAAUUCUGUUAAAUAUAAUCUUUAGCAUAAUCUCUGAAUGAUUAUUCUUUAUAUUAAAAUUUUUAUACUGUGCAUCAUAAUACCUAAAUUCAUUUGUAACAUUUAAAACUAUACAUUUUUGUUUAUUUUUAAUUUAUUUAGAAUAAGUACAGAGUUUUGAUAUUGAACGUUGUUAUUGGCAUAACAUUAAUAAUUAUUAUGUUGGUCCAUUUCUAUCUAGUCAACAAUACUCUCUCAAAGUUCCUGUUACUUUUGUCUUGUGCGAUUAAAUGAUGAAUGAGCUGCUUGUUAAAGCUGACACUAAGCAUUUUAAUUAAGAAAUUCCUUGAGUAAUGAACCACAGACUUAAAGGUGGCUUGUGUCACCUCCAAUCUAUGGCUUAUUGACUGUUAAUGUGUUGUGAUGAUGUGAUUGUGCAAUUACCACUACAGCUGACAGACAUAGCCUCUUCAAUCUGAUUCUUCUUGGUCUGUAAUUGUAGGUUUUAUCAGGGUCCGUAAGAGUGCAAGCAGAGCAGUUAGGUUUAGAUUGUAGUAUUAAUACAAAUGGCGAAUUGUAAUUUGAUAGAGUUCUCGACCUGACCUUUCAAAGGAACAGAGUUGUAAACUAAUCCUGGCCUAUUUUGGAACGACAUACUGAUGCAGAGGAAAGGUGUGUAUGCAUUAGUAUAAAUCAGUAUUCCUGAUUUGAGGUCAAUUGUUAUAAUUCUCAAUAUGACAAUGCUGUUGCAAAUGUCUUAAGAACAAAAAUAUAAAUAACAUCAAUUUUUUUUUUAUAUUACAUGCAUUUCCAACAAUUGCAUGCAUUAAUAUAUAAAAUAUGCAUGCAUAAUUAGUUGUAGAUUUCAGCAUGGAUGCAAAUGGUAGACUUUUCCUUAUAAAAACUACUUUUAAUGCUCAUUUUAGUUAAAUGUAGAAGGUGGUCAGCUGCAGCAUAUAAUAAUUGUGCAACAAGAGAAAAGUGUAUAUCCCUGUUCUUACAGGACAAAUUGAUGCUGCAUAAGAUCCAGAUCAGGCCUAUAAGCUAGUAUGUUGUCUGUUUUACCGUCUUUACCUUUAGUUUGAUGUCUUAUUGAAAAGCAUAAUCUUGUUAUGUCAAUUAGAGCAAGAGUGCACAGCCGAUUCUAGUUCCCAGUGAAUACAGAGAGGUAAUUGGUAUAGAUUUACCUUUGCCAAGCGACUGCAUCUUUAUAUGUACUGUUGUCAUGGAAACCCCAUCCACCCUCAGACUCUUGUUUCCCAGUAAAUGGCCCCCUGAACUGGCACCAACAAAAGGAGUGAAUCCUAAAUAUGUUGUUUUAUCAUGAUCAGCUAGGUCUCUAUAAAAUUGUAUGUGAUCAGAGGAAGUUUUUAGACUAAAGCACAACACAGUUGCAUGUCAUUCCUUACCUCCUCAGUUAUAGUAUAAUAAUGAAGCACUGCUUGUGAAAUAUAAUCAUUAGAAUAGAUAUAUUUUGUUUGUUUUUAUUCAUGUAUAAAUUCCACUCUUGUUUUAGUUUAAGUGCUUAAAAUGUUGUUUAGUUCAUAUGCAACACCUUAAGAUGAAGAAAUAGAGUGGAUCUAGAAUGAGAAAUGAAUUGGGUGGAAAAGCAAAAAAAAAAGGUCAAACUUUCCUUUCUCUUUGAUUCUGGGAGAUGACCUUUGUUCCCAGAGACUGACCUAAUCCUCAGUGAUUUGACAUUCCAGUUGAGGUCAUAUCUUCUCCAUUUGUGUGGUGAAUAAUAAUCUGUUGGAUGCAACUCAAGUCUUUAUCAUUUAAACUGGUUUAGUUUUGCCAAACAUACAUGUCCUAUAGAUCAGUGAGGUAUAUCAUAAUUCGGGCUUUAUUUAGAGCCACUUCCUGUAAAAUAGUAGCUAGGUAUGCAAUGUGUCAUUUUGCACUCAUUUUUUACUAUAAUUUGGUCUGAGGUUUUCAUUAGUCCUUGACUUAUUUUACAAACCUUCCAGGGACUGUAUUUCUGAGCCCGGGUGUUUAGGUAGCAGAGUCGGGAUUCAUGGCUUGAUCUUUUAAACUUAUUUGGAUAGCAGAAUUAAACCAGACUGACUGCUUAAACUUAAGUGUCUGCUAAAUUGUAAGCUACGGUUUUAAAGGAGACCCAUUAUGCCCCUUUUUACACUAUGUGAAAUAAGUCUCAGGUGUCCCCAGAAUGUGUCUGUAAAGUUUCAGCUCAAAAUACCGCUCAGAUCAUUUAUUAUAUCAUUUUGAAAAUGCCUAUUAUGAGUGGGAGCAGAAACGUGCUGUUUUCACACAUGUAUCUUUAAAUACAAAUGAGCAGCUGCUCCCCGCCCCCUUUUCCAGAAUAGGGCUGUCUUUACCUCAGAUAAUCUGCUAAAAACAUGUUUGGUUUUUGAUUAACAUGUCUGUCGUGUUGAAAUCAUAAGUUUUUAAACCAUAUUAGCUUGAUCUAAGCUUGUAGAGAAAGGCUUACCAAAAAAAUAAAUUACUGGGUUGUUCUUUUUCACAUUUUCUGGGUUGGUAGAUACACUGGGGACUUUAAACAUGGAAAAAGUCUGAUUUUCUAUAUAUGUAAUUAAUGUCUCUAGAAUUUUUUUUAUCAAAAUUAGUCUUUUUGGUUGAAUGAGCACAAGUAACUGCAACUUUGAUACUAAGUCUGAAAGGAUAAUUUAGCAUUUUGCCAUUAUUUCCUUACCUUUAUGUCAUUGUCAGCACUUAUCUGGCAUUUGUUGUCUUUGCAUCAUACUUGUCUGUCAUUUCCUUAAAAACAAAAGGGAUGGUGUUUGUAAAGACUAUAGAGCAAUUAUUUGUGUAAUUUAAAAGGUUUGCAGUGUGUUUAAUUUGGUUAAAGUUGCAAUGAAAUGAAAGAAGCAGGUUUUUUUUUCCAUAUUAUGACCUACAUCCAAGUGCAAAAAUAAGAAAAAGUAGGCAUGAAGCAGACUAAAUGAUUGGAGAAGUCUGUCAUUUCACUUGAAGUUCGAGCUGAUAUUUUAUUGAAAAAUUAUGAGGUCUAGUUUUUUUUUUUUUUAUAGAAUCUUAUGUAUGGUUGAAUUAUUCACACUAAGAUCCUUAAAAUACAUUUUCAAAAUAUAUAAGGUGAAUUUAUUAAAUGCUGUUUUUAAAGAUGUUCUGUAAACAAAUAAAGCAACAGUUAAGGCUGAAAACAGAGCUUGAAGUUUAAGACUACUAGAAUCAAUAUAUAAACUGGCAGGAUGUCCAACUACGAGACACAGUUGAAUAACUGAUGCACAGAUGUGGGCCCCUACUGAGAGAAAAACACGAAUGUAACCGAAUGCAUGUGUACUUAGACCAACAAUCAAAAUAUUUUGCAGUCUGAACAUAAGAGAGUGACCUGUGUGAACGGCCCCAAGUCUAUAAUUGUGAUCUUAUAAAAGUCAAGCACGAAUCUUUCUUAAGCUUGACCACACUUUGGGAUGUUUACUGUGCUUUUACUGUUACUGUGUAGCCAGAGUUUAUUAUAAGCAUUGUUUUUAGCAAACUGCGAGUUUCAUUUUUGUAUUCAGUUCCAUAUGUGUUUGUGUGUGUUUACUUGGUAGUGGUUGAGUUCAGUCAGUGUGGUCCCUUAAGUGCUGCACUUGAGUGACAAAGACCACAACUAUGUUUCUGCCAACUUUAAGUUUGUUUUCUUCCUUUCCUGACCAUUUAAGAUCUCGGAAAGAAGAAAAUAUACUUCUGAGCCAGCCAAACAUGCAAGACCAAACUUUCUCUCAUGACAGCUUUUUAUGUUAAAGCAAUAUCUUCAAUUCAACCGAUCAGUGACAAACAUAACAUAGAUCAUAUAUUAUUUUAUAGGCAUAUAGACAACCCUCAAAUAUGUGUGUUAGUGAGUAUGAUUUUGUUUGCACUGUCCUUAACAUUGUAGCAUCAGAUUGGCUGUUAAUUGCAUACACGUGUGAAAUAUGAGGUUGUAUUGAAUUGGUUCUUGGAAUAUUUCUAUUCUUCAUCUCCUCGGGGUGAGACUUGAAUACCUCCUACUCAUGCCACCUGGUUAAAUAAUCAGGUUUCACUCCAGCGUAUACAACAGUGAGCUCAUUUAUCGUUCUCGCACUUGUUCAGACA